rnacentral:rRNA from 1 species
AUUGAACGCUGGCGGCAGGCUUAACACAUGCAAGUCGAACGGCAGCGCGGGCUUCGGCCUGGCGGCGAGUGGCGAACGGGUGAGUAAUGCAUCGGAACGUGCCCGGUAGUGGGGGAUAGCGCGGCGAAAGCCGGAUUAAUACCGCAUACGACCUGAGGGUGAAAGCGGGGGACCGAAAGGCCUCGCGCUAUUGGAGCGGCCGAUGUCGGAUUAGCUAGUUGGUGGGGUAAAGGCUUACCAAGGCGACGAUCCGUAGCUGGUCUGAGAGGACGAUCAGCCACACUGGAACUGAGACACGGCCCAGACUCCUACGGGAGGCAGCAGUGGGGAAUUUUGGACAAUGGGCGCAACCCUGAUCCAGCCAUGCCGCGUGUGGGAAGAAGGCCUUCGGGUUGUAAACCGCUUUUGUUCGGGAAGAAAGCCUCUGGGCUAAUACCCCGCGGGGAUGACGGUACCGGAAGAAUAAGCACCGGCUAACUACGUG